rnacentral:rRNA from 1 species
UACGUAGGGGGCGAGCGUUGUCCGGAAUCAUUGGGCGUAAAGAGCGUGUAGGCGGCUUGGCAAGUCUGACGUGAAAGCCCGCGGCUCAACCGCGGAUUGUCGUUGGAAACUGCCUCGCUAGGAUCCGGAAGAGGAGAGCGGAAUUCCUGGUGUAGCGGUGGAAUGCGCAGAUAUCAGGAAGAACACCCGUGGCGAAGGCGGCUCACUGGGCCGGUCCUGACGCUGAGACGCGAAGGCGUGGGGAGCGAACGGG